rnacentral:misc_RNA from 1 species
GGGGGUCGUUUUGGCUUUUGGUUGCUUGCUUGGUCUCGGUGCCAAGGGGGUGGCUCUUAGCUGAAUGGUCUUCGGGGAUGUCUACCGUAAAGGUGCAUGAGUGGUGUUUGGUUUGUUACGGGUGGUUGGAUGUCUGCUUGAGCAGCAACUUCCACGCGGGCAUACCUCUUCAAUAGUGCUACAAGGCUUAGUUUGCCUUGAGCAUCCGGUGGGUUCCUGUGCUGCAUACCUAAUCAAUGGCAUCGUUUGGUUAUAUCAAAGUCCCUUUUCGUGAUAUGUCCCUUGGGGCAUUAAACGAACCUUGAAGCGUUCUCUAUGGUCCAUACUGUUGUUGCCUAUGCAACGAUGGCAUGGCCCUUGGAGCAUCGUAUGGUUUCUUGGAUACGGAAUGCGAUGUGGGCUGUAGGGUCUUUAUCGAUUCUAUUUUUGCCCUCAUUAAGUGUUCUCGCUUUUCUAAACGACCGUCUGUCAUGCAUCGGCAUGUUCGUGUAUGGUGGGCUGUGUCGAAUAGGAAUGC